UACGUAGGGUGCAAGCGUUAAUCGGAAUUACUGGGCGUAAAGCGUGCGCAGGCGGUUUUGUAAGUCAGAUGUGAAAUCCCCGGGCUUAACCUGGGAAUGGCAUUUGGGACUGCAAGGCUUGAGUGCGGCAGAGGAGACUGGAAUUCCUGGUGUAGCAGUGAAAUGCGUAGAUAUCGGGAGGAACACCAGUAGCGAAGGCGGCACCCUGGGCCGGUACUGACGCUGAGGAGCGAAAGCGUGGGGAGCAAACAGGG
rnacentral:rRNA from 1 species